GUUCGUUUAAGCAAAUUCAGGUUAUGUCUCAACUUUUCUUCUUUCCCUUUUUCUGCACAUAUUUUUUAUUGACAACGAAAAGUGCUUUAAAAUUUUAAAUAACAAUAUUUGGAGGUAAUCAAACAUCAUAAAAAUGUCCGCCUCUAUUCCCCGGUGCCAAAAGGGUGAUGACAGCUCUCAUUUUUGGCAUUGGUAUUGGCUUAUUUGUCGUACUUUUGCUGUGGCUAGCAGCAGCUCUGGUGUUUGCAGCGUCAUUGAGAACUGAAAAAAAAGUAGGAGCAAUUGCAAUUGCCGUAGCAGUUUUAGUAACUGUUAUUCUAGUGGGAGCACCCAGAGGAGCUGAAGAACCUGUUUUUAGAGAGGACAAGUCAGGUGUCUGUCGAUACACCGGUUUAAGGCAAUGCUGUGACUCGCUGAUAACUUGGAGAGACACCCAAGACGUGAACCAGAGACAAAAAUGCCGACGCAAGGAUUCUUCGAAUCAAAACAAAAUGUUCAUCUUGAAUCAUCAAAAAAUGGCAGAAAACUGUAGCGGGAAAUUCAUCAAUAUUACAUGAGAAGGACAACUUUCUAAGAAAAUACAGACACUAUUUUUAUCGUC